GUAAAAGCAAAAAAUGUGCGUAAAGUAAAAUAAAGUGUAAAUAAGUGUGCAAAAGUAGUUUUGUUGUCUUAUGUGCUUAUAGUGAAGUGCACAAAUAUAUUUCGUUAAACGUGGUGCUAAACGUUCGUUCUUACUAUGUUCGUGUGUCGCCGAUUUCUAAUUGACCAACAACGUAGUUCGAAUAAAGAAACAAACAAACAAUAUGAAUCAAGGAGAGUAAUAGCAUUUUUACUCUUAGUCUUAGGAGAACUUAAUAUUUAUGUCGAAAGGAGCUAACUUAGAAGAUCAAACAUUAAAGUGUAUGGUGAUUUACAGGUAGCUUCGCAAGCAUUGGCGUUGACAUUUAGAAGUUCUGAUCGACUCCGUAUACACAUUCGUAGAACAAUAUAACGUCGAGAAUACUGUGUUGACAAACGAGAGCCUACCAGCAAAAUUAUUACCACCAAAAUACUUGGAAGUUAAGUGUAUUACACUCGUGCGCUUACAAGGUUUGCGGCAUUGACAUAUGAGAAUCUCAGCCUAACGUAUCGUCAUCCCAUGCCCGGGUUUACUAACUCUUCACAGUUGCUGCGCUUCAUUAUUCAUUGCAU